AUAUUUUCUUACAGUAUUGUAAAACUUUCAUAAAUCUGUGCUGAUUGUUCUGAAGAGGAACCAUUGUGCUGGAGUCGAGAGGCGACGAGGGUCGGAACAUAAUAAAGGUCGGACCGUAUUUGUUUUGAACUUUUCUCUUUGAUGAAAAUCUGAAUGUUUAACAUGUUUUGAAAGUUUUCCGUCUCGCCCACAUCGAAAGUGCUCCCGUGUGAGAGCUGAAGUUCGGGCCGGGGUCUCGGCGCUGUGCUGAAACUCACCGGGGACUCCGACGAUCUCUGCCACCUGCCGCCACGCGUCGCUCCGCAUGUUCAGGUCCCGAUAGGUCGGAGAGUUCAUGUCGUAGAGACUCGGGAAGCCAGAGACCGCCAUGAUGAGCUUGUAUUCCAUUCUCCUGUGUUUAAAACUCUGGCGGAGCGGAGCCGAGCUGGAAAGAAAAUAAAAGAACGAAUGGGGGGAAACACUACUUCCGUUUCCGCUGCAGACCUCAGAUCAGUUUGUUGGUGUUCUGGUUCAGCUGCUGGCAGACAUUCUCCUCUUCAGGAACGUGACCCAGCUCAGCGUGACCUCCCGACCCCACACGUUCCACUGAAAUUGGGCGCGCUCUGUGUGUGUGUGUGUGUGUGUGCAUGUUUUGACAUUUGUGGCACUUUCUAAAGAGAGAAAGUGGGUCUGGGAAAGACCUGCUCGCCCAUCUCAGACUGUCCAGGACGCACACACUCUCACACAUGGUCAGCUGAUCCCUGACUCCCCCAACUCUCCCAGCACUUUAUCUGUGUGUGUGUGUGUGUGUGUGUGUGUGUGUGUGUGUGUGUGUGUGUGUGUUGCCUCGGAGCAGAGCUGCUGGGAAAGUCCCCUCGUCUACAAUAAUAUUUUAAUGUGAGCAGAUUCUCAGAAACAUCAUCUGCAUUCAUGUUUGAAAUUCUUUCUAAUUCGGUAAAAAUUCUAACUGUAGAAGUAUUUUAUUCUGAAAGUCUUUCUGGUGAUUUUAUUUCCUAUGUUUUAUAACUUCCAUUUUAUUCCAUUAUUUUACAUUUUCAUAACUUCCGUUCACAGGUAUAAAUUAUUAAUAUGAACUUGGAUCACUGUGUGUGAGCUGUAGUAAUUAUGUUAUUAAUGCUUAUCGCGGUAUGGAGCUAAUUUGUGGUGUCUGGAGCUGUUUAUUAUUAUUUUAUUAUUAUUUUAUAUGUAUGUAUAUGUUGUUUUACUGCAGGGUCGACAUGUAAAGAUUUGUGACCCCAGGAAGAAUCACUCACUCUGAACUAUAAAUCUGCUGCUUUGGUUUGAAAGUUGAGAAGAAUUCAACAUCAUCAGCUUCAUCCAAUCAAAUCACUCUGCAGUACGUAGAAAUGGAUCAUUUGAGUGAAAAAUCAUCAGGCUUUGGAAUCAGGCUUUUAUCAGAGCUUUUCCACAAUCAUCAGUAUCCGGUUGUUAACUGAUGAUGUAUGAACCCUGCUUCCUACUCUGCGUUUAUCAAAGUUGUUGUUUUUUAAACAUGUUUUAAUUCUUUGUAUCUUGUUCCAUUUAAUCUGAACAAGCCCCUAAAAAAAGUCAGUUAUCACUGUUGGCCUCUCUCGGUUUUUAUUACCACUAUUCAUUUUCAUUCAUUUCAUUCAAGUUCAGUUUUUAAAACCUUACGAUGUAACUACAGCCCAGCCCAUGCAGCAGUAUAUUAAUGACUAACCUCGUAUUAUGGCUGGAUUAUCUCAGUUGUUGUCCUGACUGAAGUUUGGUCCAUUUAGCAUCCUGCCAUGCGAUUGCAUUUGUCCCUGACCAUCGGGAACCCUCACAUUAACUUUUAUCAAGUGGAAAAAAGUUAGCGUUCAUCCUCCAGCUUCACUGUGUUUAUAUUAUGCUAACUAUAGCUGUGUAGCUAGCCUCCACAUAGCACAUCAUUAUAGACCACCUAGCCCAACUUCAGUAACCCUACAAAUGUCAUUACUGUUUAGUUUUGUCUUCAUUUAUGUCAGAAGUGAUAGCAGAGCUGUACGUUUAAAUUUUUCAGAAAUCCCUCAGUCAAAACAUGGUAUAUCAUCGUUAGAUGGAAACUAGUGAGCUAACUCUCUGCUAACUUCGAAUUCCGUUAAACUUCAUAAAUUCUCUUUUCAUGGAUGCCUGGAUGUUAAACUUAAUUAUUACACCUGGUAGAGCAGCCACACUGAUUAUUUAUUAAAGAUGAAAGAAUUUAGACAGUCCGUAACUCUCAGUGAUGCCGCAGUGUUCUUUUGACUUUGGGACCUGAAGCGGAGUUUGGGCCCAGAAACAGCUAAUGACGUCAGACUUAAAAGACUGAAUUCAAAGUGUCAAGAUCACUGAUCAGAAGCCACAAGUACGUUUUACAGCGAGCUGAAUAACACCUGCUAAAUAAGAAUGAAUGACGGGCUAGUUUACUCAGACUGAAACCUCCAUCAGUCAUGGAGGAUAUUUGAAAGUGAGGUGUACUUUACCUGCGACCUGGAUGAGCGAGCUGCUGUAUAUUAGCAAGGUUACUAACAGGCUAAUGCUAACAGCUAACCAAGGUUCAGCUUGCUUGCGUUGUGAUGAUGGGUUAUUAUUGAUGAUGUCAUCAGCAACUCAUCAGAAACGAUUAGCAACGUUAGAUUAAGUGAUGAUAUCCUGAAUAUAUGAUACAAUGCAGCUCUGGCUCCUUUCUGCUUACAGUACUUCAGAAACCUCUGUAGGAAGUAUUGUAAUAUUUCAUUAAAUUCUAUUUUGUCAGUU
rnacentral:lncRNA from 1 species